rnacentral:lncRNA from 1 species
AGUGCCUGGCACAUAAUAAAUGUUGAUUGAUUGAUUGAUUGAUUGCAGUAGGACCCGAUUGUAGCCUGGAGGACAGCUGAGAAGAAGGAAGCCUCCUUAAGGUGAUUGGCUGAAGAACAGCAGCCAUAGGUGAUCUAAGGCUGCCCCAAAGCAGCUGGAGGAGGAGCAGGGCUAGGAGCUGAGCAGGACCCAACCAGCUCUGCACACCUAGGAGCAGGAAGCAGAGCAGCUGGUCCAUGAAAGUGAAAUCCAGCAGGAGACUUGCCUUCACCAGGCCCAACUAAGUGAGCCAGAACGAACAGACCACUGAGCGCUCUAAGGCACAGAUGAAGAGAGCUCACUAUGAUGCCAAGGAGCAGAACUGGUUGCAGAAACACCUGCAGCACAUGGAGAAUCUACAGAAGGAAAAUGCGGAGUUAGAGAGGGUCAGUGGGGAGCUGCGGCAGGUUUGGCUGAAGAUCAAAGAGGUUGAGCAGGCCUGCCGCCACCUUGCAGCCCGAAUUGAAAUGCUGGAGGCACAGGUGAUUCUGCUUCUUUUAUUUAACUGCAGUCCUUGGUCUUGUCAUGUGGAUCUGUCUCCUCUCUACUUUAACUCCAUGGACCAGAAUGGAGACCAUUAUGAGGACAUCCCAAUCCCAAUCUUUAGCCACCAGCCAAGGAGUCCUAGCCCAGUCACAUGCCUGAUAACUUCUGGACCUGAGGAAGAAUCCCAGCCAACUGCUCCAAUAGUAUCAGACCAGGCCUGACCAGUCAAAGCAGCAAGAGAUGAGACAAGGAGGCCUUCCAAUAAAAUGUUAAGCUCAGGCCUUGUCUAGUUUUCU